GCCUGGCUGGCUCAGUCAGUAGAGCGUGCGAUUCUUGAUCUUGGGAUGUGAGUUCAAGCCCCAUGUUGGGUG
rnacentral:tRNA from 1 species